rnacentral:lncRNA from 13 species
AUGAUGCCUCAGCCCUGUCCUUGCCAGGCCCUGCUCCAGGAAUCAUCCGGAAACCUGAGCUCCAUCUUUCGCCUCUACCAGUGUUGUCGGGUCAGUAAAGACUGCAGUGGCUCCAGGGUGCUGGGUCUCUCGGACACAACUCUUGGCUGUCUAAACCAAGUGCCUAACUCCAGAGACUGCCAGGAUUCCAUGGCAAGCUUUCUGGAGAACCCUGUACUCUUCUGCAGGCUAUUUGGCUCCCGGCCUGCUGACAUCCAUGUCAUGGCAACCCUGCUGAAUCACUGACUCUAGGGAGCACAGGUCCUUCGGACUUGUGUGGUCCUGUCCCAGCCACACGUCUGGCCGGCUGAUGGCAAGUGCGCAGUAAUAACUCCCUGUGGAGCGCAGGAAGUUGCACCUCUGAUUAUCUAGCAGGAGCACCUCCUACAUGCACCAAUGCUGGCCAUAGCCUGUGCCCCUGACCCCAAGCCAUGGCUCUCCACCACCCCAAUCAGGGCCAGCCUCGAGGCACAUCGCAUGCCAGCUUGGGACUGUACACAUCCCUUUAUUGUGAAAUUAUCCCAAAUUUGGUGCUGCUGGCUUGGGGCCGUCUCCAAAUGCACCGCACAUUUAGUCUUAGCUGCGAAGGUUCAUGUUCGCCCCUAGACAGGGCACUCCCUGCAGAAAAAGUGGGGGCAGAGCAAUUGUGCAGAUAAUAGGCAAACCCCGCAAAGACCUCGGGAGUCUAGAACUUGCCACUGCAGGUAGGGCGGGGUGUGGGCACGGGGCCUGGGUCCGGGCAGCACCGGAUGUCAAGGCGUCACAGAGAACGAGAUGCACCAUUGACCUCUGGUCAUCACACAACCAUGAAAGGUGAAACACGGGACAGUGUGCGGGGAGUUGGGAUGUGGGUCAGGGUUACCUGCCCUGGACGGGACUGCCGAGGCCGGUGGCUGUCUCCACGUGGCUUCCCCUCCUGAGUGGCUGGGUCACUGCUCAAAGGUCUAAGGCCCUUCCCUUCUGCCACUCUGCAUUCCAUCCUGUUCACGGGGCUCCUGCCAUGUGGAAGUCUCCAGGCGGGAGCUGCCCGCCCAGCACGGGCAGGAAGGAACUCCUGCCCUUGUAAAUGGCCAGAGUACACCAUGGUGCUGUAGCUGCCAGGAUGGGCUGACGGCUGCUGGAUCCAGGCCAUGGGUAUCUGCUCAUCCACUCAUCAGCUCCCUAACCAGAUAACCAGGAGUCACCCUUUGUUCCUGAUGACGUUUUGGGCCUGGGAACAUGGUGGGAAACUGAGUCAGAAAGGCCU